UAAUAAAUUCAUUUAUAUUUCUGUAUACACUACAUAUAAUACUUAGUUUUACUGUAGAGUGAUGAUUACAUUCUCAAUAUAUAAGUAAACUUUUCCUUUUACAGAUUACUAGCUGUAUAAGGAUGUAUAUAUGAUGGAUCUCCAGUGGCAUUUGCAUGAUGUGUUUGGAACAGUGUUUAAUGUGCAUUAUAAAGAAAUCUAUGGACUUUGAACAAACGGUUGGUCAGAUAAUAUUGCUUGUCAUGUGGAAAAAGUUGAAAAAUUACUGCAUCAGGUCUUCAGGAGAACUUAAAUUUGCUACAACACAUUGCUGUGCAAUCAGAACUACACCUAGUUGUAUAACAGUGGCUGAAAAAAGAACUUGUAUAAAUUGACUAUAAUUUGAUGUUUUGUAUGUUACUCUGAGUGUAUAUCCACACCGGGCAGGCUGAAAAGUUAGCCUGACCAUGGUGAGAAUCGAACCCGCAACUAGUCUAAUGCUCUGCUAACUGCAUAUACACUCAGAGUAUCAUCAAAAACAAUAUUCACCUGAGUAACUGUACAUAUAUAAACACCCAAACAACACAUUCUUAAUAAGAAAAUUCUUUUUAAGAAAAAUUUCUUGAUUUGAGAAAUUAUUUUCUUAAAAUAAGAAAUUAUUUUCUUAUUUUAAGAAAAUUUUCUUAUUUCAAGAAUUUUUUUUCUUGGGAG